UUUAAAAUGGCAUUACUUAAACAGGAAUGAUGGUGCUAGAGGACACUUUAGCUGAGACCCAAGCCCAUGUCAGCCAGUCCAGUUAGAACCAUUCAAAGCUCCAGCUUCACAAGAAAUCAAGAGAUAUAGUGGAAGAGGAUUAGCCGGUGAUUUGUUGCCUGUCACAACCCACCUCAGAUCCAUGUUAAGUUCCUGAACACUCCAGUAGAGGAAGUAAGGGCUUUGCAGCUUUCUCAUCCUGGUACAGGAGACCAUCAAGGGUGCACGCAUUAAUCAACUGAGCAGAAGAUCUGGGAGGAUACCGCUCAAGGAAUCUUCAAGAUACUAUUACCAUUUGCUUGAUUCUAAUUUAAAUAAUUUGGAGUUCUUAGAAGAUUAGAAAGUUUUGAAAAGUAGACUGUCAACACAAAGAGAAUGAAAAGAAAAUUUGGGGGGGGGGAAUUUUACAAAAUGUUUCUUCUAUAGAACAAUAGGCUUUUACAGGCUUGCACUGAUUAAAAAAAAAAAAUUAUUAGAUAUAAAUGAGAAGCAUGUGCUUCUGGUGGUAUUAUACUCCAAGAAUUUUAGUUAAGUAAGGUCUAAACUUUCAGGGUAUUUGAAAUAUACUCAGUUGGACAGUUAAUGAACCCUCUUCAACUUAAAGUAGAGAACUGCCACAAGAGAAAAAAAUGCACGAAAAAAGUUAUGGAAGAGACAAAUGGAUAUUGAACUCUUUUCCAGUGUUCCCAUUCCAAUGAUUUUUAGGAGUUAUAGUUAAAGAAGUACAGCUUUCCUUCCAUCCCUGAAAUUGGUUUCUUGCAUAACACAUUAUUUUGAAUGUCAGCAAUCAGCCCUUGCACUUCUUUAGACCAAAGACCAAGAUUGAGAGCAGAGUGAAUGCCUAUUUCAGUCCCAGAAACGAAGGCAUCAGUAGUAUAAUAGAAGGCAAGUGAAAGAUAAAUACAUUUGUUUUUCCAUCUGCUAAGACAUAACUAAAACAUUCUUCCCAUUUUUUCCUUAAUAUUUUGUUUCCUGGCAACUAAUAACAAAAAUUCCCAAUCAACCACAUCUUUCACAAUUCUUGGUUCUUUAAAAAAGCAGCACUAAUACUGUUGUUUAGAUUUCUAAUAUAUAAAAUUAUUUUCAAAAAAGAAGUACUAUAUAUUAAAAAGUUAUAUAUAUUAUAUACAUAGGCAUACAUACAUAAAAUUAUAUGUGUAUGUAUAGUUCAGUAAAGGAGCCAUAGGGAUGUAUUAUAUAACCAUUCUGAAAAACAAUGGGGCACUAUCUGGUAAAUUUUCUGUAACCCAGCUAUUUUACUCCUGGAUGUUUAUUCAAAAGAAGCUCUUUCACAUGUACCAUAAGGAAACUAAAAGACUGUGAUCUCUUUCUCUCUCUUAUGUGCACUUGGAGAUUUUUCCAAUGUUUAUCAAGAGCAGAAUGGAUUAUCCUGAUACAGGGUGAAAAUUAAUUAUAGCUAUAUGCAAAAAUACCUAAGAAUCUUGUCUACACAGCAAAAAAAUUGGCAUAAUCUUACACCUAUAUUUCCAUAAAAUAUAAAGUUCAAAAAUGUAUACAAAAUUAACCAGUAUUUUGUUUAGGCAUAUAAACAUAUGAGGCAAAACUAAAGAAAAGCCGGACAAUAAUUAGCACAAAAUUCAAAGCUUUGAUUAAGACCUGACAGGGUCCCACAGGGGAUGUGAAAGUAAUAUUCUUUCUCUUCAAGUAGGUGGUGGGUAGAGAGUUGUUCAUUGCAUUGUGAUUCUUUAUAUAUUACACAUAUUUAAUAAAUGUUCUUUUGAAACUGUUCAAUAUUUGGUAAAAACAUAUACAAUAAAAAGCAAAGGUCUACACAAUUACUGCAAUUGUUAUAUCUAAAAAAAUGUUUUAAAACUAAUAUAUUGUUCAGUCAUUUAUAAUCAUCUACUUUUUUG